AUUGAACGCUGGCGGCAUGCUUUACACAUGCAAGUCGAACGGUAACAUGAAGAAGCUUGCUUCUUUGAUGACGAGUGGCGAACGGGUGAGUAAUGUAUCGGAACGUGCCCAGUAGUGGGGGAUAACUACUCGAAAGAGUGGCUAAUACCGCAUGAGAUCUCUGGAUGAAAGUGGGGGACCGCAAGGCCUCACGCUACUGGAGCGGCCGAUAUCAGAUUAGGUAGUUGGUAGGGUAAGAGCCUACCAAGCCUGCGAUCUGUAGCUGGUCUGAGAGGACGACCAGCCACACUGGGACUGAGACACGGCCCAGACUCCUACGGGUGGCAG
rnacentral:rRNA from 1 species